rnacentral:rRNA from 1 species
CGGUAGGUGGCAAGCGUUGUCCGGAUUUAUUGGGUUUAAAGGGUGCGUAGGCGGCUUUGUAAGUCAGUGGUGAAAUACUCCAGCUCAACUGGAGAGGUGCCAUUGAUACUGCAGAGCUAGAGUACUGAUGAGGUAGGCGGAAUGGACGGUGUAGCGGUGAAAUGCUUAGAUAUCGUCCAGAACACCGAUAGCGAAGGCAGCUUACUAAAGAGUAACUGACGCUGAGGCACGAAAGUGUGGGGAUCAAACAGGAUUAGAUACCCUGGUAGUCCACACUGUAAACGUUGAUCACUAGAUGUUGGCGAUACACUGCCAGCGUUCCAGCAAAAGCGAUAAGUGAUCCACCUGGGGAGGUACGCCCGCAAGGGUG